rnacentral:rRNA from 1 species
GACGAACGCUGGCGGCGUGCCUAAUACAUGCAAGUAGAACGCUGAAGGAGGAGCUUGCUUCUCUGGAUGAGUUGCGAACGGGUGAGUAACGCGUAGGUAACCUGCCUGGUAGCGGGGGAUAACUAUUGGAAACGAUAGCUAAUACCGCAUAAGAGUAGAUGUUGCAUGACAUUUACUUAAAAGGUGCAAUUGCAUCACUACCAGAUGGACCUGCGUUGUAUUAGCUAGUUGGUGAGGUAACGGCUCACCAAGGCAACGAUACAUAGCCGACCUGAGAGGGUGAUCGGCCACACUGGGACUGAGACACGGCCCAGACUCCUACGGGAGGCAGCAGUAGGGAAUCUUCGGCAAUGGACGGAAGUCUGACCGAGCAACGCCGCGUGAGUGAAGAAGGUGUUCGGAUCGUAAAGCUCUGUUGUAAGAGAAGAACGAGUGUGAGAGUGGAAAGUUCACACUGUGACGGUAUCUUACCAGAAAGGGACGGCUAACUACGU